CGCUAUUUCGUCACCGCGCGCACUCGCUGACUGAAUUCUCUCCUCAGAAAUAACAAAGUGAAGAUGUACGAAUAUUUUUGCUCAAACGUCAGAUUUCGCCGAGGGAAGACAGCAGGGACGAGGAGCCUACAAACGGUCAACAAACUGGUGGCAGUGGGGUUGUGAAGAUUGUAUGCAAACACUGGCACAUGGAAACAACAAAUAGCAGUCUAAGUCCUGUCCGGACCUGUUCCUGUGAGUCCUGCCGCUGGUUCUCCAUGCCUGGCACUUGGUCUGCUUCGGAGUCGGCAGUCAACAAGUAUCUGAGCUCGACUCUAUGGUGCUUUGUUUGGUCCUCUAUCUGCCUAGUCUUGCCACUCCUUUUGCUGCUAUUGUAAUCUGCCAGUUGCUGUCCGAGACCGUUCCAGUGGUCUUCUCCAGCUGUCUCAUUGUUUACGGUGUUCUUGAUGUUGUAUUACAUGUGUACCUCUCUACUCUCUUGUAUCAGUCUGUUCUGUCAAUAAACCUUUG